rnacentral:rRNA from 1 species
CCUACGGGUGGCAGCAGUGAGGAAUAUUGGUCAAUGGACGAGAGUCUGAACCAGCCAAGUAGCGUGAAGGAUGACUGCCCUAUGGGUUGUAAACUUCUUUUAUAUGGGAAUAAAAUGUUCCACGUGUGGGAUUUUGUAUGUACCAUAUGAAUAAGGAUCGGCUAACUCCGUGCCAGCAGCCGCGGUAAUACAGAGGAUCCGAGCGUUAUCCGGAUUUAUUGGGUUUAAAGGGAGCGUAGGUGGAUUGUUAAGUCAGUUGUGAAAGUUUCCGGCUCAACCGUAAAAUUGCAGUUGAAACUGGCAGUCUUGAGUACAGUAGAGGUGGGCGGAAUUCGUGGUGUAGCGGUGAAAUGCUUAGAUAUCACGAAGAACUCCGAUUGCGAAGGCAGUUCACUGGACUGCAACUGACACUGAGGCUCGAAAGUGUGGGUAUCAAACAGGAUUAGAUACCCCAGUAGUC